GAAGAUGCUGCUGAAUGGUCGGCAACCUGUCUUGAAAACAGGAGUAUGGGAAACUGUAGGGGUUCGAUUUCUCCAUCUUCU
rnacentral:tRNA from 3 species